UACAGAGGGUGCAAGCGUUGUUCGGAAUUAUUGGGCGUAAAGGGCGCGUAGGCGGUGCGGUAAGUCUGUAGUGAAAUCUCUGGGCUCAACUCAGAGUCUGCUGCAGAAACUGCCGUGCUUGAGUGUGGGAGAGGUGAGUGGAAUUCCCGGUGUAGCGGUGAAAUGCGUAGAUAUCAUUUGGAACGCCAAUGGUGAAAACAGGUUGCUGGGAGUGUGCUGACGCU
rnacentral:rRNA from 1 species